GUUCUUAUAGUUGAAUACAACAGCAGUUUUUCAGAUUGCAAGUCUAGGUUAGAGUCCUUGUAGGAAUU
rnacentral:tRNA from 1 species